rnacentral:lncRNA from 1 species
ACCAACAAAAAAUCACUAAUACUUCUUCCCUUAUUUUAUAGAUUAAUUAAUAACUUAUUAUCUUCCUUAUACAACAUUAAUAUUACAUUCCUUAUAAAACAUUAAUACUCCCUCUCUUAUACUAUCUGUAGUUUAGUAAAUAUCCGGUCCAAAAGGUGUAUAUCAUUUGAAUCUAUACUAUUAAAGCAUGAUCCUAUUGUCCUUUUUACCUUAGCCUGCCAUUUUCUUUACUAACAUUGCAUGUUUC